GUUGUCGCGACAGUAAUCUAACUUAGUACGAGAGGAACCGUUGGUUCAGAUAUUUGGUCAUUGCGGUUAGCUGAACAGCUAGUGCCGCGAAGCUACCAUCUGUAGGAUUAUGACUGAACGCCUCUAAGUCAGAAUCCAUGCUGGAAAGCGACGAUAUUCACCUCUCCCGAUGUUACACGCAUCACGAUAGGCUUCGGCCGAGCAUCAUACUCCAUCGCAAUUUCGAAUGUUGGGAGGGAUAAAUCCUUUGUAGACGACUUAAAUAUGGAACGGGGUAUUGUAAGCAUGAGAGUAGGCUUUGUCCUACGAUCUGCUGAGAUUCAGCCUCUUGUUCCGGCGAUUU
rfam:Aureococcus anophagefferens unplaced genomic scaffold ATRANscaffold_2, whole genome shotgun sequence.